rnacentral:rRNA from 1 species
UACGUAGGUGGCAAGCGUUGUCCGGAUUUAUUGGGCUUAAAGGGUGCGUAGGCGGUUUUAUAAGUCAGUGGUGAAAUAUCGCGGCUUAACCGGGAGGGUGGCAUUGAUACUGUAAGGCUUGAGUCGAGUUGAGGUUGGCGGAAUUGACGGUGUAGCGGUGAAAUGCGUAGAUAUCGGGAGGAAUACCAGUGGCGAAGGCGGCCUUCUGGACAGAUACUGACGCUGAGGCGCGAAAGCCAGGGGAGCAAACGGG